rnacentral:tRNA from 1 species
AUGAAAUGCCUGAGCAAAGGAUUAUUUUGAUAGAAUAAAUUACGCAUUAUUGAUGCUUUC